rnacentral:rRNA from 1 species
AUUGAACGCUGGCGGCAGGCCUAACACAUGCAAGUCGAACGAGUGGCAGACGGGUGAGUUAUGUCUGGGAAACUGACUGAUGGAGGGGGAUAACUACUGGAAACGGUAGCUUAUACCGCAUACCAUCAGAUGUGCCCAGAUGGGAUUAGCUAGUUGGUGGGGUAACGGAGCACCAAGGCGACGAUCCCUAGCUGGUCUGAGAGGUGGACCAGCCACACUGGAACUGAGACACGGUCCAGACUCCUACGGGAGGCAGCAGUGGGGAAUAUUGCACAAUGGGCGCAAGCCUGAUGCAGCCAUGCCGCGUGUAUGAAGAAGGCCUUCGGGUUGUAAAGUACUUUCAGCUGGGAGGCGUUACCCGCAGAAGAAGCACCGGCUAACUCCGUGCCAGCAGCCGCGGUAAUAC